GUGGGGCUGGGGUGCGUGUAGGGGCGCGGGGUGCGGGCAGGGCCGCCUCUCCUCCGGCUUCCCGCCUAGUGAGCGCACCUUGGACGCCUGCGGCUUUUCCGAGCCGAAACUCACGGGCUGUGGCCGGCUUCGUUUCGUGUCGUGCAGCUCCGCGACCGCCCGUCGCCACACCAUUCAGGGACUUCGUGCUUUACGAUGGGGGCGCAGUGGCCUGGCACACGCAGGACCCCGGGCCUCGAACCCUCGCGCUGGCCGCCCUGGACCCGCGGCGGGGACCCGCACAGUCAGAGUACCUGCCCAUACCGAUGGGGUGGGGACCACCACGGAGCCUUUCCUUGGCCCCGCGGCUUCUGUUCCUUUGGAGACGGACAGCGCCCACCCGGAGGAAAGCCUGACAGACGAGACUUCGCAAGGAUCAGCAAGAAGGCACAUGUGAAGCUCACCCAGGUUCUGUCUGUUUCUGCUCUCGUACAAAGACCCCAUAUGGAGCCAGUGACAACGAGGGCCAUGGGGAAGGCAGGAACCUGCCAGUUCAGGGAGGCCCAUCUUUCUAGAAGGUUAACAGGAACUUCCAGCCUCCAGCCUACUUAGUGACCGGCUGCUGGAGGACGGUGAGCGGCCCCUGCUGUCCACGUCUCCACGGGGGUCACCGAGCACACUCACAGGGUCCCCCUCUCCACCUGGAGCAGAGAAUUUGGAGGAGCCCGUCUUGCUGUCUUUUCUGAUGUUGUUAAACUAUGCUUGGGCCUGCCCGUUGCUCAGAGGAGCUUUCUACACAGCUGGACUUCUGAGGUGGGACCUGCCACGUGCUAACACCAGCACUCGGAACAGUCUCUGCCACUGGCAACAUCCUGUCCUGAACAUCUCCAAUGUGACCUCUCUCCUGAAAGGCCUGUGUGCGACUUAUCUGUGAAGCUGGAAGAAAGUUCUGGAACUUCCCCUUCUCCUUUGGUGCAAAGUUACACUAACUGUCAUGAUGUUGUUGAUUUCCAUUUUUUUUUGUUGUUCUUGUUGAGACGGAGUCUCACUCUGUUGCCUGGGUUGGAGUGCAGUGGC